rnacentral:lncRNA from 1 species
AUCGUUUAAGCACAAGUGGGGUUUCCACUUUUACAUAAAGCUUUCAAUGUGUCCACAUCUUAAGAGAUGCUUAUACUCAAGUCUUAGAGUAAAGCUCCCCCUUGAUGUGACAUCCCCCUAAGAGGGAUAAAAUAACCUUGGGUUUUAUCGUAGAACACUUCAUGUAGGUGUAUUAGUGAUGGAUGCUCAUUGUUUAUGAAUGUCAUCUUGAGAUGGGAGGAAUCCUUGUUGUUUCUUACUCUUCUCACCUACAUGGGUUAGUCCCAAAGCACAAGCAACAUAUGCAAGGAUAUCUAUGGACAUGGAAUGUAAUGCAUGUGAGAUGAUGUCCAAAGAUACAUUAACUACAUUGUCCCUUGCUUUCCUUUGAGGGAAUGUGUGACUCCUUGAACCAAUACAUAAAGUUGGAGUUGAUUGCAUUUAGUUCUUGCCAUAAUGAAUAAGAGUAGAUUUGAUUGGCGGAGUCACCCCAAAAGAACUUCUCUAGUUCUUAUUCCUGGGGACCCACAUCAACUUGAUCGGGAUCCUUGGAGUUGUGGUAGCACUAGAUGAAGUAGACCUAGUAGUGUCCUUGGGAAUCCACUUGACCCUGGUUUGGGGUUCUUCCUCAAAUGAGUCAAUCUCCUCUUGAAGCUUGCCCUUGCCCUUGUGGUCUUGUGGUAGAAGGUCAUCUAGAGAACUUGUUCCCUUGGGGAGAGUGAUACGUCUCCAACAUAUCUAUCAUUUUUUAUGGUUCCAUGCUAUUAUCUUGUCAAUCUUUGGAUGUUUUGUAUGCCUUUUAUAUAUUUUUUGGGACUAACUUAUUAACUCAGUGCCAAGUGCCAGUUCCUGUUUUUCCAUGUUUUUGACCCCUUUCAGAGGAGAAUUUUAAACGGUGUCCAAACAGAAUAAAAUGUCCGAAAAGAUUUUUUUCUGGAAUAAAAGAUACGCAUGGAACGUGAGAACCAAGGCAGAGGCCACCAGGGAGGCCACAAGCGCCCUAGGCGCAGCCAGGGGGGCCGUGCCUAGCAGCCUUGUGGGCCCCCUGUGGCUCGUCUGCCCUACCUCUUCUGCCUAUAAAUUCCCGAAAAAUCCAAAACUGGGUGAGAGAUCCACGAAAAUACUUUUCCGCCACCGCAAGCUUCUGUCUCCGCAAGAUCCCAUCUGGGGCACGUUCUGGUGCCCUGCCGGAGGGGGGAUUCGGAUACGGAGGGCUUCUUCAUCAACACCAUGACCUCUCUGAUGAUGCAUGAAUAGUUGACCAUAGACUUUCGAGUCCAUAGCUAUUAGCUAGAUGGCUUCUUCUCUCUCCUGGAUCUUCAAUACAAAGUUCUCCAUGAUCUUCAUGGAGAACUAUCUGAUGUAAUCUUCUUUUGCG